ensembl:piRNA 21ur-1632 ncRNA
UUAUAAAUAAUGGUGUAGAUC